CAGGUAGUACUAUUAUCAGAACUGUAAUGAUUUGGAGCUAUAAAUGAUGGAAGAUUUAUGUAUAGAUUUCAGAGGUGGCAUUCAGGGAAACUUCCUUGAUGUCCUGCGCAGAUGUCACUGCUGACUCAUAGGUUUAGAGUUUCAUAGAAAUUAAGCGGAAGUGAAGACUCAGACACCUCGGAUUCUUGGUCAUCCUUGUUACAGUUAAAGAACGGGCUUGGAUUUGUUCCUCCAUAUCUGCCUCUUGCCUCCUGCAUUUUAGAAGGUUUGAAAACCACUGCCAGGUAAGAAUUUCUUUUUGAUGUGUUUGAUGUCUCAGACUCCUCUGUUCAUACUGCCAGUUCAUUUGCAGGUAUUCUGUCUAGUAGUUUUAUAUAAGUA